GGAUUGAUUUCCACAGAAUAGUUGUUUUUUUUCAGUAAAUAUUAUUUGGAUUAUGAACUCAUGAAUCCUCCUCUCCUCUGGUGUUUGAGCAACAGAUAUAUGGCUGAGACACUGUUUUGUCUGUAGCCGAGAAACUACGUGACCUUCUUGCCAAUGGGUGUAGUAUGUAUAAAACUAUCUUCAUCUCUCAGUAAAAAAAAAUCCCACAGUUGGAGAAUCUUACUGUAUAUGAUCGAGUCUUGUUGCUUAUUAGCUUCGGAGGAAGAGAGUCCAAAAAAUUCCUCCAGUAUAGCUGCUGACCCUUUGUUGUCUUCCUUUAUUUCUCCAAUGGCGGAUGGACUUUUCAUUUCAGAGACGAGUUCUGCCAAAAAGACAUCAAACCAGAGUUUGCCUGAACGGAGUGUUGAGAAGAAGUCGCUUUCUGCAGAGGAUCACAGAGAAAAGUUGAAACAGAGCGAGUUCGUCCAAGGAGUUUUCUGCUCCAUGAUUCUUGAUGAUGAUUUAUAAAGGAAGAGAUAAAAUAAAUAACGUUGUCUACGAGUAUUAGAUCAUUCAUCUGUUGGAACAAAUGUAAUGGAGUUGUUGUUUAUUUUCAACAAGUGA